rnacentral:rRNA from 1 species
GAAUGCUGACAUAAGUAACGAUAAAGCGGGUGAAAAGCCCGCUCGCCGGAAGACCAAGGGUUCCUGUCCAACGUUAAUCGGGGCAGGGUGAGUCGACCCCUAAGGCGAGGCCGAAAGGCGUAGUCGAUGGGAAACGGGUUAAUAUUCCCGUACUUGGUGUUACUGCGAAGGGGGGACGGAGAAGGCUAUGUUGGCCGGGCGACGGUUGUCCCGGUUUAAGCGUGUAGGUGUGUGUUCCAGGUAAAUCCGGUUCACUUUAACACUGAGGCGUGACGACGAGGCACUACGGUGCUGAAGCAACAAAUGCCCUGCUUCCAGGAAAAGCCUCUAAGCAUCAGGUAACAUCAAAUCGUACCCCAAACCGACACAGGUGGUCAGGUAGAGAAUACCAAGGCGCUUGAGAGAACUCGGGUGAAGGAACUAGGCAAAAUGGUGCCGUAACUUCGGGAGAAGGCACGCUGACACGUAGGUGAAGUGAUUUACUCAUGGAGCUGAAGUCAGUCGAAGAUACCAGCUGGCUGCAACUGUUUAUUAAAAACACAGCACUGUGCAAACACGAAAGUGGACGUAUACGGUGUGACGCCUGCCCGGUGCCGGAAGGUUAAUUGAUGGGGUCAGCGCAAGCGAAGCUCCUGAUCGAAGCCCCGGUAAACGGCGGCCGUAACUAUAACGGUCCUAAGGUAGCGAAAUUCCUUGUCGGGUAAGUUCCGACCUGCACGAAUGGCGUAAUGAUGGCCAGGCUGUCUCCACCCGAGACUCAGUGAAAUUGAACUCGCUGUGAAGAUGCAGUGUACCCGCGGCAAGACGGAAAGACCCCGUGAACCUUUACUAUAGCUUGACACUGAACAUUGAGCCUUGAUGUGUAGGAUAGGUGGGAGGCUUUGAAGUGUGGACGCCAGUCUGCAUGGAGCCGACCUUGAAAUACCACCCUUUAAUGUUUGAUGUUCUAACGUGGACCCGUUACCCGGGUUGCGGACAGUGUCUGGUGGGUAGUUUGACUGGGGCGGUCUCCUCCUAAAGAGUAACGGAGGAGCACGAAGGUUGGCUAAUCCUGGUCGGACAUCAGGAGGUUAGUGCAAUGGCAUAAGCCAGCUUGACUGCGAGCGUGACGGCGCGAGCAGGUGCGAAAGCAGGUCAUAGUGAUCCGGUGGUUCUGAAUGGAAGGGCCAUCGCUCAACGGAUAAAAGGUACUCCGGGGAUAACAGGCUGAUACCGCCCAAGAGUUCAUAUCGACGGCGGUGUUUGGCACCUCGAUGUCGGCUCAUCACAUCCUGGGGCUGAAGUAGGUCCCAAGGGUAUGGCUGUUCGCCAUUUAAAGUGGUACGCGAGCUGGGUUUAGAACGUCGUGAGACAGUUCGGUCCCUAUCUGCCGUGGGCGCUGGAGAACUGAGGGGGGCUGCUCCUAGUACGAGAGGACCGGAGUGGACGCAUCACUGGUGUUCGGGUUGUCAUGCCAAUGGCACUGCCCGGUAGCUAAAUGCGGAAGAGAUAAGUGCUGAAAGCAUCUAAGCACGAAACUUGCCCCGAGAUGAGUUCUCCCUGAGACUUAGAGUCUCCUGAAGGAACGUUGAAGACGAC